rnacentral:misc_RNA from 1 species
GUGUAGUUUGUUUUGAUUCCAAUAACCUUGUUGCUAUGACCUUGCGAAUUUGAGUAUUUGGCAAAUCUUCAAAAGAAUCUGACCGCUGUGGGUGAGAUUCUGGUAAAGCUGUGGUUGAAGCUUGUGAGCCUUUUUGAGAUGGAGCUGCUUUAUCCUUAGGUGUAGAUUUUCUUGAAGAUCCCUUUCCUGACUUAAUUGCAGCCCAAACAUCACUCUUUAGAAGAGUGCCAUGAUGACCAGAUGCCUUUAAUGAUGAUGCAUCCAAUCCAUACUCUGAAAUCAGCAACUUAGCAGAGGGGCUAAUCCUUGUAAAACUUGUCUUUUCUUCUCUACCAUCAUCCUUUGAGUCACGAUGGGUCAAUAUUUCUUCCUUCACCUCCAUGCUACCACUAAAAUUAGUCUUUACAGUUUCAAUAUCAUCUGGAUUUUCAACCGUGACUGCAAUUGGUUGUCCCACUGCCACAUCCUUUGAACCAUCUGGUGCCAGUAUCUUAGCCAAAUACCCCUCUUCAAGACUUUCAAAUUCAAGGGUGGCCUUGUCUGUCUCUAUCUCACAUAUGACUUCACCCAUUUCUAUCUUGUCUCCUUCUUUUUUUCUCCACUUGGCAAUAUUACCUUGGUUCAUUGUUGGUGAUAAUGCUGGCAUUCCAAGAACAAUGUGAGGAGGAAGUUGAGACGUGUUGAGCUUAAUAGAGGUGGUUCCUUUGUCUUCACUAUUGGAAUCCUUGUCAGAUGAUUUUUCCUCUUCAACCUGUGCUCCACUGCUGGCAGUUGCUGGGACAUUUUGGAUAUCAUCUGCAUCCUCAACCGUUAUUGCGAUGGGUUGUCCUACAGGAAUAUCCUUUGAACCUUCAGGUGCCAGUAUAUUUUGGCCAAAAACCCUUCUUCAAGACUUUCAAACUCAAGUGUAGCUUUAUCUGUCUCUAUUUCACACAGUACAUCGCCCACUUCUAUCUUAUCUCCUUCUUU